GUGCUAAAAAUUAUAUCUUCAUGUGCUAAAUUUAAAAGACAAAUGGGUUUGAAUUAUUCGACAUUUACUUAAUAUUUCGGUUUCUUGGACCUUUCUGUCCUUUGAGCAGACACCCUUAACAUUUUAUGUUUCAAAAUAUAAAGAUAUGCAGAUUUCGGUAAAGAGAUAAGGAAUAUCUUCGUUACAAAAUUGGGUUCUUACUACAUUUGUGUAACA
rnacentral:lncRNA from 1 species